rnacentral:tRNA from 1 species
GCGGACGUGGCGGAAUCGGCAGACGCACUAGACUCAAAAUCUAGCGGGAAACCAUGUGGGUUCGACUCCCACCGUCCGCA